UGAGUAGCGAAACCCUAGUCAGUCUCCGUCCGUCUUCAAUUUCAGAUUUCAAUAAUUUCAGAUCCAAUUUCGUGUGUAAAGAAUUUAAAUCUUUUAUUUUUAUGUGUGUCGAAUUUUCGAGCUCGAUCCUUUUUCAGUUUGCCCUAAAUUUCAAUUCCUAUAUCUCAUAUUUGUUGUUCCCCCAAAUCAGAAACCAAAUUGAUUCUCAAUUUCACCACCUCAAAUUAUCAAAACCCUAAGUAAUAAUUAGUACGAAGGUAGCGAUGGGUUCUUCAAGAUGGACCCGGCAUGAUGAUAUUUCCUUUCAAAACUAAGUACCGCCAUACAAGAACAAUAGAUAUCAAAGAAAACCUCAGGGAUACUUUCUUUGGAUCUUUAACCACCAGUUUCAGAAGAGGAACAUUAUGAAGAUCCUUGGAGAGUCGUAAUGCUCCUUAAUCGUAAUACUAGCAAACAGGCAACCAAGUUUAUAUCUCAUUUCAAACUUGGUGAAGAGUGUUGAGACAUAAGUUAAAGAGUCCGAGACAGAAGUUUUCGGCUGAGAAUCCUGCAAUUUGUGAUACAUCAAAUCUCUGUGCUUGCGAUGUUGCGGCAGAAAAGAAUCAAGCAUAUGAGAUCACAUAAGAAGAUGAAAGCUGCAAAAUCUGCACCGUCGAAUAGUAGUAAGUAUGCCAUGGGCAUCACUGUUAUGUUCUGCCUCGAUAUAAUCGUUCAAGGUAACAACAUUUCACCUCUUCCCUGCUUCUUAACUAAUUGAUAGAUAUUCAUGAUUUAGGCUUUAUUUGUGUUGUUAUCCACCACCACAAUACAUGAUUUAGGCUUUACGGAAAUGUUAGAAAGUUAGGACUUCUUAACUAAAUUCACUAAUAGGAGGGUCUCUCUGCAGAUGUAUUUAACAGCAUUCUUAUCCAUGAUUUUCCUUUUUGUUCUUUGGAGCCACAUAUUGUGAUAGAUCUCCUUGUAUUUCAGUUUGACAUGGUAAAUGUGACAUGAUAUGUGAAGAACAUAGGCGCAAUGUUAUAGUAGGAGGAGCUGACAGAGUAUCAACUUGCUGUAAUUUUGAAAGAGACUUAUAAGACCCGGAAUAUGUGAUAUUUUUUUACACAUUCAUGUAUGGGUAAUGACACCCCUACUUUGGUAUUAGCCAAGUCGGUUUGAUAUUAUUGUGGUCGAAUUACUACGGAUGGCAGUUAGGUGUGUUGGGGCAGAAAAAAUGUUUAUGUUCUACCUAUUCUCACAUUUUUGUAGUUUUAGCUCUGGGUUGGCAUGUACUAACCUGAAAGAGGUAUUCAUGUACAUGUUUAAAAUGGAUUGCUGAUGGUUAUUACAGAUUUAGUUGUUCAGAAAAUUUUGUUUGUAAAUUAUACAUUUUGGGAUAUCAUUGUGUAUCGUUGCAUCGUAUGAACCGUUUGUUUGCUGUACCAGGAUGCGAAUACAGUAGUUUAAUAUAUCCAAUCAGUGUCUCCCAAUUGAAUGGUUUCUUGAUAUUGAACCUUGUCAGACCAAAAUGUUAGAAUAAUCCCGUAUGUUCUCAAAAUUAGUAGGCAGUAAAAAGAGUGGCUAAGAAAUCACAAUUUUGGAAAAUUUUAUUGCAGACUGGAGAUGAAUGUGUAAAUUCUCAUCCUCCCAAUGUUUGUGAUAUGUAGGAUUGUCAUCCAGAGACGAUUAACAUUUAAGACUCCAAGGCUCUCCUCUGUCAGUGAUAGAAAUGAGACUGAACCUACCAUUUCUUUUGAGGAAAACAAUAUUUUUUUCUACUCCACAUCAUGUUUUAAUGCAUUCUUGUUUCACAGGUCCCAUUUGGUUGAAAGAAAUAGGUAUUCUGCUGAUGCAUAUGCAAUAUUCUGCAGAGGAAAGUGGAUCAAGUAAAACCCGAAGAUCAUAUGCUUAAUAAAUACUGGGAAUAUCUUGGUCAAGAGUCUUGAGACAUAAGUUAAAGAUUCAGAUACAGAAAGUAUUGACUGAGAUUGGUGUAGGACCAUCAUAUCUCUGAGCUUAUGAUAUUGAAGCGUGCAGAAGCGAACGUCCGAGAGCACAUAAGAAGAUGAAAGAUGCAAAAGCUGCAUUGUCUAAAGUUAUGCUCUGUCUCGUUAUAAUCAUUCAAGUUUGACAUGGUAAAUGAAGAACAUAGGCGUGAUGUGAUAAAUUUAUACUUUUAAUUAGUAGGAGGAGCUGGAAUUUGGAAGAAGACGGAUAAGGCCCAGAAUAUGUGACAUGCUUCUGUAGAUGCAUGUAUAGGGACAUUUAUGACGAAAUCCCUAAAUUUGCGUUGGCCAAGUCGGUUUGAUAUUGUUGUGGUCGAACUACUACAGAUGACAGUUAGGUGUGUUGGAGGAGGAAGAAAGUGUCUGUUCUAUCUAUUCUCUUAGAUUACAUAACAUGCAUACAAGAGCAUUUUGUAUUUUUAGUUUGUUCAUGUUUAAAAUGGGUCGCUGAUGGUUUCAAAUCAGUUGUUCAGAGUAUCUUGUUUGCUGUGUUACAAGGACACUCCAAAAAAUAUUGUGCUGUGUCGACACGCGAGGACACGGACACUUGUACUACAGAGACACCGGCAUGUGUACCUUUAUCUUACCGAAACAAUAUAUAUAUAUAUCUGAAGGCCAUAGUGUGUUUUACCA